rnacentral:rRNA from 1 species
GAUGAACGCUGGCGGCGUGCCUAAUACAUGCAAGUCGAGCGAACGGACGAGAAGCUUGCUUCUCUGAUGUUAGCGGCGGACGGGUGAGUAACACGUGGAUAACCUACCUAUAAGACUGGGAUAACUUCGGGAAACCGGAGCUAAUACCGGAUAAUAUUUUGAACCGCAGGGUUCAAAAGUGAAAGAGGGUCUUGCGGUCACUUAUAGAUGGAUCCGCGCUGCAUUAGCUAGUUGGUAAGGUAACGGCUUACCAAGGCAACGAUGCAUAGCCGACCUGAGAGGGUGAUCGGCCACACUGGAACUGAGACACGGUCCAGACUCCUACGGGAGGCAGCAGUAGGGAAUCUUCCGCAAUGGGCGAAAGCCUGACGGAGCAACGCCGCGUGAGUGAUGAAGGUCUUCGGAUCGUAAAACUCUGUUAUUAGGGAAGAACAUAUGUGUAAGUAACUGUGCACAUCUUGACGGUACCUAAUCAGAAAGCCACGGCUAACUACGUG